AUGCAAGUCGAACGGCAGCGCGGACUUCGGUCUGGCGGCGAGUGGCGAACGGGUGAGUAAUGUAUCGGAACGUGCCUAGUAGCGGGGGAUAACUACUCGAAAGAGUAGCUAAUACCGCAUACGCCCUACGGGGGAAAGGGGGGGAUCGCAAGACCUCUCACUAUUAGAGCGGCCGAUAUCGGAUUAGCUAGUUGGUGAGGUAAAGGCUCACCAAGGCGACGAUCCGUAGCUGGUUUGAGAGGACGACCAGCCACACUGGGACUGAGACACGGCCCAGACUCCUACGGGAGGCAGCAGUGGGGAAUUUUGGACAACGGGGGAAACCCUGAUCCAGCCAUUCCGCGUGUGCGAUGAAGGCCUUCGGGUUGUAAAGCACUUUUGGCAGGAAAGAAAUCGCACGGGUUAAUAACCCGUGUGGAUGACGGUACCUGCAGAAUAAGCACCGGCUAACUACGUGCCAGCAGCCGCGGUAAUACGUAGGGUGCAAGCGUUAAUCGGAAUUACUGGGCGUAAAGCGUGCGCAGGCGGUUCGGAAAGAAGGAUGUGAAAUCCCAGGGCUUAACCUUGGAACUGCAUUCUUAACUACCGGGCUAGAGUAUGUCAGAGGGAGGUGGAAUUCCGCGUGUAGCAGUGAAAUGCGUAGAUAUGCGGAGGAACACCGAUGGCGAAGGCAGCCUCCUGGGAUAAUACUGACGCUCAUGCACGAAAGCGUGGGGAGCAAACAGGAUUAGAUA
rnacentral:rRNA from 1 species